rnacentral:hammerhead_ribozyme from 1 species
ACCUAGUUGAUGAGUCCAAAAUAGGAUUAAACGCACGUCUUACAU